AUCUAAGGCCAUACCACUCUGACCUGACCGAUGUCAAUCUCAGUUGAUCUUAGAAGCUAAGCAGGCUCAGGCCUGGUUAGCAAUCGAGUGGGAGAGCUAUCCUAGGGUGACAGAGUGCAAGCUAGGUAUUUUGGAUC
rnacentral:rRNA from 14 species